rfam:Camelus ferus unplaced genomic scaffold scaffold471, whole genome shotgun sequence.
GAGGGUGUAGCCCAAGUGGUAAAGUGCAUGCUUAGCAUGCAUGAGGUCCUGGGUUCAAUCCCCAGCACCUCCU